CACCGGAGCUGACGGACACGGCCGCGACGCUCUGCGGCCUCUGCCCUCAGAGGGAGCCGGAAUCAAGGAAUGCUGAAUUUCACCCCCCCAAACCGGGACACAGGAGCCUCGCCGCCUUUAUUCACAGAAUCACCACGGCACGGAAGAACAGAGCGGCCCCCACCCACCUCACUACAAGCUCCAGUCACGGAGUAGAAUUAUUCUCCAGAUACACCUAUUGAACCUGUUCACCAUCCUGUUUUCUCUGGAGCUUGGCGGAUGUUCUCAGAGGGCCACUUAUUCCCACACUUUACACCAAAAUUUAUAGGGUAUGCUGGCAUUGAACUGACACGUGCCCCUCUCCUCCAAAGCCUUGGUGCGAUCUGCGUGCUCCCAGGUUAGCCCAUUCCUGGACACUGUCGGCUUUGCAGGAUGAGCACCUUGCUGUGAAAAGCACAGUCCCUCCUGCUUGUGUGCUGCUUUCCUGCCAAAUGGAGAUUGUAUGAGUGGUGUGGAAAAUUCAGGUACAAAUACAGAUUCGUGGAUAACCUGCAAUCCAUCACUUGAUGCAUCUCCAACUUUCCUUUUCAGUCAGCUUCAGUACUGGCCAUGCACCAGCCCAUGGCAGAAGAAUAAAAGCAGCUCGGUUAGACCCCCCUGGCUGUUUUCAGGUUGUAAAACAGCUAUCCCAUCUCCUUUUAUGUCACUAUUUUUUAAGCAAAACACUUCUAGAUGUGGCAGUUUCCUAGUUUUUGUAGACAUUUGAUCACAGUUAUGCAACAUUAGGUUACAUUACUCUGGGUGCUUUAAUACUCCUAAUAAUUUUUUUCCAGGUUCAUGAGCAACAGAGCUCACAAUUUGUGGUGGUUGUAAUCUCUCUGAUUUGUGAUCACUUUCCAUGCAGAUGUGCCUGUGUACAGCAAUUUAGGUGCCAUAUAAAUAAAAAUAUUUUGUCAAUA